rnacentral:misc_RNA from 1 species
AUUUGACUUAUAUUCAAUCAAUUUCAUAAAAUUAUAAAUAUAAAAUUUCAAAUGAAUUAUUUUACAUGAAAUACAUUAAAUUUGAAUUCAUAAAUUAAAUUCCAUAAUUAUACAAACUAAAUUCUAAGAAUUAUUAGGCGAUUGGGUAACAUUCCCCACCAUCUGCAGAGAAAUGCAGGGCUGCUCAACUGGAACAAAGUGGCCAGCCCCCAGAAUCCAAUAGAAAGACAAGUUCUUGUAUGAGCUUGUGAACCCUUUGGUGGUUGUGUCAUCACCUUUGCAAUACAAAGGAGUAGGAUCCACAAUCAGAAAAUUUUUCAAGCCAUCCCAUCUGAAAUGUAGAAUGAAUCAAACCACUAAUAUUUGAUUAUAGAAACCCAUUAUUGUAAAGUAAAAAUAUUAUUGAAUGUGGGCUAUCUGUACUUGAGUUUAUUAAGCCAUGCUUCUGCUCCUUUGGUUGAACAUAUGAGAUCAAGCUGGCCAUUGUAUAUGAUCACCCUUAUACCUUUGGCUAAGAGCUCAUCAACCUCUUGGAUUCUAGGCUUCAUGAAGUCACCAAGUAAAGCCUGAAAAACCAGGCCACUUUGUCGUCCCCAACUAUGAUAGCAGAUCAAUGAAUAUCAUCAUUAGAUUAAGCACGCAAAUUAACUACAAUUCCAAAAGCUGAAUACACUUAUGUUUUUAAUUACUGAAAACUUGGUGGCACUGCCAAUCUUUAUUUUGACUUGUUAAACAUAUGAUUUUUUUUUUCUGUAGGUCAAUGCAUCGCAUGACUACACAUAUAUAAGGAUUAGGGCUGUGCAUAAUUUCUAGGGAAUCAAAUCGAAUUGAAAAAUCAAACUGAAUCGAAUCAGAACUAAAAAAGAAUUAUUAAUACAAAAAUCAAAUCAAAUUGAAAUUAUUUUACGGUUUUAAUUUGAAUUUAAAUAAAAAAUUCUGACAAAAUGAAAGUAUAAGAAUUAGAUAGGUCAUAAUAAAAAUUAAUAGUCGGACUGGACUUAUCAACUAAAAGUUAUAUGUUUAGCCAUUCAAAAAAAAUCAUUAUAUAUAUAUAAACUAAGAAUUUGAUCUUACGUGACAUUCUUUGGAAUAAUCUUCAGCUUCUUUCUGAUAGGCCCAUUCAUCAAACCAUAAAGGUUCCUAGCACGAGGUGAUCGAUAAUACCUUGCCUCAAGAUAUCUCGAGUACCUAUCUCUUGAAAGUCCUUUUGAUCUUUGUUUGGAGAUCCCCACCACCGGGUCAUUAUCAAAAUCAAGCAUGAAGUUAUAGAAGUCCACAUUGUUACUGUAGGCUAGAAUAGCAUUCUCAAGUUCACUCCACGUUGAUGUAGCAUUUUCAUAUUCGCCUUCGGCUAGCUGCUGUUGAAUCUUUAAAGCCAAACUGUUUGAGAUGUUUAAGCCAUUGCUGCUCAUUCUUGAUAAGUCUUUAAGUAAAGGUCCCCAUGAAAACACAAAAUCUUCAGGAGAAAUCCAGCUAUCUCCCAAAGCAACUCCUCCCAGUUGAAGCUUUAAUUCCCCUGCUUCAAUGGCUUUAAAAGCAGAAAUUCCAAGAGUGACAGCAAAUUUUCCUCCAUAGGACUCUGCAAAUAUAUACAAAGGACUCUUCUGGAGGGUCCCAUUUCCAUUGAAGAGCUCCUUCAAUAAGGUAGUUAAAUCAGUUGCUGCUUCUUCAUCAGUCCUGACCACCAAGGUCUGGUCUUCUACAUAACUAAACCCUGAAGCCACUGGACUAUCCACAAAUAAGAGAUCUGCUUUGUGAAGCCAUGUAGAAUUCCUAGGCUUCAAAUUGCUGUCAAGUGGUCCUAUCUCUAGGAAAUUUCCAAAUGCAACACCAGAGCCACCUGGGCCUCCUUGGAGCCAUAGAACUGUUGGCCAUGGUUUUGAUGGAUCUUCCACUCUAUAAGGGCUUUUAUAAAGCCACCAAAACAGGUGUGCCUUAGGUCGAACUUCGACAUAGCCCCAACAUUCAGACCCAUCAAAGGUUACCGCAAUGGAGGCCAGAGAUAAAUGAAACAAAGUAAAAGAAAAUACAAGGGAAAUCGAAAGAAGGAAGUGUUUCUCCAUGGUAAAUAGUUUUGUGACAAAAUGAAGACUCUUGGUGGAGGUUUAUAUAUGACAUAGACUUGAGACAAUCACAUAAGAAUCAUCACCUCCCUCCCCUUUUGACUAUAUUUGAACAAGAAAACAAACAUGCAGAAGGCAAUUCCUAGGAAGCUUAUUUUAUGGAAAUUCAUAGUAAUAUGACACUAUGAAUUUUGUUUCUUUAUGUUGGUCAAAUUGGC